GCUAGAACCCAGAGGGAGUGAGUCUGAAUAGGCUUAAACAUCUAGAGUAAUGACUGAUGGUGUAGCCAUUGUGCUCUCUGUGGUGACAAGAAGUACACUCACAAGUUGGAAUGGUGCAAGUGGACGGAACUAGCAAGGCUUUCUGGGAAAUGUUUAUGCCCCAUAUCAACUCUUUUUCACUUAACUUCAAACUUCUCCAGGAGGAACAAAUAAAAGCCUUUUGUUUGGU